GUGGGGAAUAUUGGACAAUGGGGGGAACCCUGAUCCAGCCAUGCCGCGUGUGUGAAGAAGGCCUUUUGGUUGUAAAGCACUUUAAGCGAGGAGGAGGCUACCGAGAUUAAUACUCUUGGAUAGUGGACGUUACUCGCAGAAUAAGCACCGGCUAACUCUGUGCCAGCAGCCGCGGUAAUACAGAGGGUGCAAGCGUUAAUCGGAUUUACUGGGCGUAAAGCGCGCGUAGGUGGCCAAUUAAGUCAAAUGUGAAAUCGCCGAGCUUAACUUGGGAAUUGCAUUCGAUACUGGUUGGCUAGAGUAUGGGAGAGGAUGGUAGAAUUCCAGGUGUAGCGGUGAAAUGCGUAGAGAUCUGGAGGAAUACCGAUGGCGAAGGCAGCCAUCUGGCCUAAUACUGACACUGAGGUGCGAAAGCAUGGGGAGCAAACAGGAUUAGAUACCCCUGUAGUCC
rnacentral:rRNA from 1 species